UCCUAAAGUAUUUUUCGUAGUUGCUCGACAGACAGAUGAAAGAGUGUGCCGUUUUCGAUAUCAAUCAAGUGAUUUAAUUCAAUUAAUAUAUUAAUGUAGUACAGAAAAUUGCUUAAGAUGACUUUGAUGGCUAAAAUGUGUAACUUUUAUCAGAAGACCGUACAUUUUGAUAUUAUAUGCAAAAUAUCUGAAAAAUUCUGGAGCUUAAUAAACCCUUCGGAAAAAGUCUUGUAAGUUGCCUCGCAUUGGGAGUAGCGCCAUCUUGAGGAUAUAUUUGCUCAGAAGCUAAGUACAAAUCCUUUCGGAAUGUGAGGCCCAAAACGUCCAAGUCUUCUCUUCCAUACCGAAAGGCAGCCAAGACAUGGCCAAAUACUUUUCUGUCUUUGACAUAUUCAGGAUCGAUAAGAACUACACCAUCUAAAACAAAUCAGUAUAUCAAUAUGGCAUCAACGACGAUUUUCUUGUAUUAUUAUAAGUAAAUGAUGAAUCUUGCAAGUUU